UCUCCGUUGGUGAACCAGCGGAGGGAUCAUUACAGGACUCGCAAGACUCCUACAACCCUGUGAACCUACUAUACGAACGUUGCUUCGGCGGGUGCGCCCCGGGGAUUCGUUCCCGCGGCGCGUCAGCCCGCCGGCAGCCUACAAAUUCUGUUUCUUUGCGUUGGCAUCUCGAGAAAAACAAAUAAGUUAAAACUUUCAACAACGGAUCUCUUGGUUCUG
rnacentral:misc_RNA from 1 species